rnacentral:lncRNA from 1 species
AAACCUUACCCUAGCCCCAUAACCUAAUACCCGGGUAUUACCUUCAGGAAGCCCAAAAACCCCAAUUUUUUUUUUUCAUUUUUCGUUUUUUUUUUGGUCUAACUAACUCCAAAAGGUUGGAAAAUAGUUCCUACAAAGGUUUUGGACAGUGAUUUUAACCCUAACGCCAAAAACCUUUAACCUUACUAUAGCCCCAUAACCUAAUACCUGGGUAUUUCUUUCAGGAAGCCCGAAGACCCCAAAUAUAUUUUUUUUCAUUUUACAUUAUUUUUUGGUGUAACCAACUCCAAAAGGUCUUAAACAUGUUCCUAAAAAGGUUUUGGACACUGAUUUUAACUCUAACGCCAAAAACCUUAAACCUUACCCUAGCCCCAUAACCUAAUACCCGGGUAUUACCUUCAGGAAACCCGAAGACCCCAAAUAUUUUUUUUUUCUUUUUCUUUUUUUUUUGUCUAACUAACUCCCAAAUGUCUGAAACAUGUUCCUUAAAAAAAUAUUGGACAGUGAUUUUAACCCUAACGCCAAAAACCUUAAACCUUACCCUAGCCCCAUAACCUCAUACCCGGGUAUUACCUUCAGGAAGCUUGAACACCCCAAAUUUUUUUUUUUCAUUUUACAUUUUUUUUGGUGUUACCAACUCCAAAAGGUCUGAAACAUGUUCCUACAAAGGUUUUGGACAGUGAUUUUAACCCUAACGCCAAAAACCUUUAACCUUACUAUAGCCCCAUAACCUAAUACCUGGGUAUUUCCUUCAGGAAGCCCGAAGACCCCAAAUAUUUUUUUUUUCAUUUUACAUUUUUUUUGGUGUAACCAACUCCAAAAGGUCAUAAACAUGUUCCUAAAAAGGUUUUGGACACUGAUUUUAACUCUAACGCCAAAAACCUUAAACCUUACCCUAGCCCCAUAACCUAAUACCCGGGUAUUACCUUCAGGAAGCCCAAAAACCCCAAAUUUUUUUUUUCAUUUUUCGUUUUUUUUUUGGUCUAACUAACUCCAAAAGGUUGGAAAAUAGUUCCUACAAAGGUUUUGGACAGUGAUUUUAACCCUAACGCCAAAAACCUUUAACCUUACUAUAGCCCCAUAACCUAAUACCUGGGUAUUUCCUUCAGGAAGCCCGAAGACCCCAAAUAUAUUUUUUUUCAUUUUACAUUAUUUUUUGGUGUAACCAACUCCAAAAGGUCUUAAACAUGUUCCUCAAAAGGUUUUGGACACUGAUUUUAACUCUAACGCCAAAAACCUUAAACCUUACCCUAGCCCCAUAACCUAAUACCCGGGUAUUACCUUCAGGAAGCUUGAACACCCCAAAUAUAUUUUUUUUCAUUUUACAUUUUUUUUUGGUGUAACCAACUCCAAAAGGUCUUAAACAUGUUCCUAAAAAGGUUUUGGACACUGAUUUUAACUCUAACGCCAAAAACCUUAAACCUUACCCUAGCCCCAUAACCUAAUACCCGGGUAUUACUUUCAGGAAGCCCGAACACCCCAAAUAUUUUUUUUUCUUUUUCUUUUUUCUUUUGUCUAACUAACUCCCAAAGGUCUGAAACAUGUUCCUGAAAAAAUAUUGGACAGUGAUUUUAACCCUUACGCCAAAAACCUUAAACCUAAUCCUAGCCCCAUAACCUAAUACUUAAACCUGAAGGGUAUUACCUUCAGGAAGCCCGAACACCCCAAAUAUUUUUUUUGUCAUUUUACAUUUUUUUUGGUGUAACCAACUCCAAAAGGUCUGAAUCUUGUUCCUUAAAAGGUUUUGGACAGUGAUUUUAACCCUAACGCCAAAAACCUUAAACCUUACCCUAGCCCCAAAACCUAAUACCCGGGUAUUACCUUCAGGAAGCUUGAACACCCCAAAUAUUUUUUUUUCAUUUAUCUAUUUUUUUUUGUCUAACUAAUUCCCAAAGGUUGGAAAAGAGUUCCUACAAAGGUUUUGGACAGUGAUUUUUACCCUCACACCGAAAAACCUUAAACCUUACCCUAGCCCCAUAACCUAAUACCCGGGUAUUACCUUCAGGAAGCCCGAACACCCCAAAUAUAUAUUUUUUAUUUUUACAUUUUUUUUGGUGUAACCAACUCCAAAAGGUCUGAAUCUUGUUCCUUAAAAGGUUUUGGACAGUGAUUUUAACCCUAACGCCAAAAACCUUAAACCUUACCCUAGCCCCAAAACCUAAUACCUUCAGGAAGCCCGAAAACCCCAAAUAUUUUUUUUGUCAUUUUACAUUUUUUUUGGUCUAACUAACUCCAAAAGGUCUGAAACAUGUUCCUUAAAAAAUAUUGGACAGUGAUUUUAACCCUAACGCCAAAAACCUUAAACCUAAUCCUAGCCCCAAAACCUAAUACCCGGGUAUUACCUUCAGGAAGCCCGAACACCCCAAAUUUUUUUUUUCAUUUUUCAUUUUUUUUUUGUCUAACUAACACCAAAAGGUUUGAAAAGAGGUCCUACAAAGGUUUUGGACAGUGAUUUUAACCCUCACGCCAAAAACCUUAAACCUUACCCUAGCCCCAUAACCUAAUACUUAAACCUGAAGGGUAUUACCUUCAGGAAGCCCGAACACCCCAAAUAUUUUUUUUGUCAUUUUACAUUUUUUUUGGUGUAACCAACUCCAAAAGGUCUGAAUCUUGUUCCUUAAAAGGUUUUGGACAGUGAUUUUAACCCUAACGCCAAAAACCUUAAACCUAAUCCUAGCCCCAUAACCUAAUACUUAAACCUGAAGGGUAUUACCUUCAGGAAGCCCGAACACCCCAAAUAUUUUUUUUGUCAUUUUACAUUUUUUUUGGUCUAACUAACUCCAAAAGGUCUGAAACAUGUUCCUUAAAAAAUAUUGGACAGUGAUUUUAACCCUAACGCCAAAAACCUUAAACCUAAUCCUAGCCCCAAAACCUAAUACCCGGGUAUUUCCUUCAGGAAGCCCGAACACCCCAAAUGUUUUUUUUCAUUUUUCAUUUUUUUUUU